AUGCACUUUUUCGAGGAAAAGGAUAUUUCUGAUGUGCCAGAUAAAUCAUUGGAGGUAAAUUAGCAGUGUGGCUACUCUAGCCAUCGCUGUCAGUCACUUCCACACAUUG
rnacentral:snoRNA from 1 species